rnacentral:rRNA from 1 species
GACGAACGCUGGCGGCGUGCUUAACACAUGCAAGUCGAACGACGUGGCGAACGGGUGAGUAAUACGUGAGUAACCUGCCCUCCUUUUUGGGAUAAGCCUUGGAAACGGGGACUAAUACCGGAUAAAGGGGGAUGGGCUCGCGGCCUGUCAGCGUGUUGGUGGGGGGAGCGUCUACCAAGGCGGUGACGGGUAGCCGGCCUGAGAAGGUGACCGGCCACAUUGGGAAUGGGGUACGGCCCAGACUCCUACGGGAGGCAGCAGUGGGGGAUAUUGCACAAUGGGGGAAAGCCUGAUGCAGCGACGCCGCGUGAGUGAAGAAGGUUUUCGGAUCGGAAAGCUCUGUUGUGAGAGGAGCGGUAACUAACCAGGAAGGGACGGCUAACUACGUGCCAGCCGCCGCGGUAAUAC